rnacentral:rRNA from 1 species
UACGAAGGGGGCUAGCGUUGCUCGGAAUCACUGGGCGUAAAGCGCACGUAGGCGGAUUGCUAAGUCAGGGGUGAAAUCCUGGAGCUCAACUCCAGAACUGCCUUUGAUACUGGGGAUCUUGAGUCCGGGAGAGGUGAGUGGAACUGCGAGUGUAGAGGUGAAAUUCGUAGAUAUUCGCAAGAACACCAGUGGCGAAGGCGGCUCACUGGCCCGGUACUGACGCUGAGGUGCGAAAAGCGUGGGGAGCAAACAGG